GUGCUUGCUUCGGCAGCAUAUAUACUAAAAUUGGAAUGAUACAGAGAAGAUUAAUAUGGCCCCUGUGCAAGGAUGACAAUCGAAUUCAUAAAGAGAAGAAGAAGAAG